GCACACACACUGGCCCUGCUCGCAGCGGCCGUGGCCGCUGCAGGCGUUCGGGCAGCUGAGCUGGCCGCAGUCCUCGCCCGUGAAGCCCUGCUCGCAGUAGCAGGUGCCGUUGACGCAGCGGCCCCGGUCGAAGCAGUCGUUGGGGCAGAUGAGCUCGCUGCAGUCCUCGCCCGUGAAGCCCUCGUCGCAGACGCACUCGUUCUCCACGCACCGGCCGCGCCGGUGGCAGUUGUUGAGGCACAGGGGCUCAUUGCAGUCGUCACCUGCAAAGCCGUCCUGGCACACGCAGCGGCCGUCCACGCAGCGCCCGUGCUCCUCGCUGCACGGCGUGGGGCACACCUCCUGGCUGCAGUCGGCCCCCGUGUAGCCUUCGAAACACACGCAGACCCCGUUUACGCACUUGCCCUGGUCGUUGCAGUCGCUGGGACAGGCCAGCUGGCUGCAGUCCUCCCCCGUGAAGCCCUCCUCGCAGACGCACUGCCCGUCAAGGCACUGGCCCCGCAGGUGACAGUUGCUGGGACAUUCAGGUUCAGAGCAGUUGGGGCCUUUCCAGCCGGGUUCACAGACACAGCCGCAGCCUUCGGUGCUGAAGUUCCCGUGGCCACUGCAGAAGGGCCUGGUGUCCAGGCGGCCUACAACAGCAGAGAAGAGGCAGACCGCUGAGCUGAAGCGGCUGAUUUCUGCCCACCACCUGCCAAACCCAGCUUCAAAUUCAGCCAGAAGAGGGUGGCACCCUCAGGCUCCACCUGGCUUGGAAACUAGUUGCUUAGUGUAUGGAAGCGGAGGGGACUGACAUCCAACUAGAGUAGGGAGACAGCAGAGAAUAGAGAACAGGCCAAAAUUUUGGAAUGUUAUAGACCAGACCUGGGUUUUGGUUUCAGCUCCAGCUCUGUGCCUCUGGAGGAAAGGUCAUGUGAGGACACAGUGAGAAGACAGCCAUCUGCAAGCCAAGAGGAGAGGCUUCCCCAGAACUGAACUUUCCAGCACCUUGAAUUGGGACAUCCGUCCUCUCGAACA